rnacentral:rRNA from 1 species
AACGAACGCUGGCGGCAGGCCUAACACAUGCAAGUCGAGCGAGGACUUAGGUCCUAGCGGCGGACGGGUGAGUAACGCGUGGGAACGUGCCCUUUGCUACGGAAUAGCCCCGGGAAACUGGGAGUAAUACCGUAUGUGCCCGAGAGGGGAAAGAUUUAUCGGCAAAGGAUCGGCCCGCGUUGGAUUAGGUAGUUGGUGGGGUAAUGGCCUACCAAACCGACGAUCCAUAGCUGGUUUGAGAGGAUGAUCAGCCACACUGGGACUGAGACACGGCCCAGACUCCUACGGGAGGCAGCAGUGGGGAAUCUUAGACAAUGGGGGAAACCCUGAUCUAGCCAUGCCGCGUGAGCGAUGAAGGCCUUAGGGUUGUAAAGCUCUUUCAGUGGGGAAGAUAAUGACGGUACCCACAGAAGAAGCCCCGGCUAACUCCGUGCCAGCCGCCGCAGUAAUAC